rnacentral:tRNA from 1 species
GCCGCCGUAGCUCAAUGGUGGAGCGCCCGGCUCAUAACCGGGAGGCCGCGGGUUCGAAUCCCGCCGGCGGCA